ACUUCAGACUUGGACUGGAGCUAAAUCACCAGCUUUCCAGGGUCUCCAACUCACCAACUAUUGAACUUGGGACUUUGUAGCCUUCACAGUCAUCUGUGCUCCACGGUGACGCAGCCAUGCUGGACCAGUUCAGACUAAACACAUAUACAUCAUUGUCUUCAUGUGUGCUUCUAAUGUGUCCACAUCAAACUCUGGAGAGGACUCUUGGGGACAGUAAAUGGGGCUGAGACCACCUCGAAGUAAUUUUCAACGUGCGUACCUGUCAUCCUCCCGUCACAUCUCCUGGAGCAGCCUCAGGGCAAGCCCACCGGGGCAAUGAUUCCAUGUUUCCAUCCAACCGCUAAACUCAUCCUUCAUGACCUGGGCCCAGGCCAACUCACCAGAUCGAGCUCCUAAGAAGAGAGCAUAUUGUGUGGUUGACAGGAAUUCCACUGAGAAGAGCUGGUCACCUCUUGGCUUCUUUAAUUGUUCCUCAUAAGGAACAUUUACGAUAUCAUGACGGGUGUUUGGAGGGAUGUUCAGACAGUAAUUUACUUGGGGGUAGAAAAACCAACCUUAUAAACACUGAAAAGAAGACAAAGCAUAUCAAAGGUUGCAUUUUUCUCUUUCACUCAAUAUUGAACAAAUAUUUAUUAAAUAUCCACCAUGUGUCAGACAUUACUCUGUGCUCUGGAGGCUCAAGGAAAUGAGAAUCAAUUGUGCCUUCAUCAAAAUCCCAGCUAACCAGGCAGGCAGUGUGAUAAGCUCUCUGGUCAGCUAAGUACACAUGCAGACCAGAUUCCCACUGAGGACUUGGGAAGGUUCUCAAGCAAAUGGUAAUUCAGCCGAGACUUAAGGGAUCAUCUCAGAGUUACUUAUGAGAGAACAGGCAGCACACAUAUGGGAAAAGUGUGUUCCUAUUAGAAAAGGGUGUAUAAGAAAGCAUAGGGAUAAAAAAAAAAAUAGCGCUGGUCAUUAAAAAUGACAAAUCAAGUGAUGGCAGCUGGAACACUGAGUGUGCAGAAAAGUGGCCAUGGGGAGGCUGCAUAAGUAGACAGGGAACCCCACAAUGAAGGGACUUAGAAGCAAUAUUGGGACAUUCAGACUUUUUCCUAAGAGCACAAAAGAGCCAGUAAAGCCCUUUAAGCAAGAUCCUAACCACAAAUCCUAAAUAAAAAUGCUUGUAGAAGGGUCAUAUCUGCCACAUUCAUUCGAUCAGAGUCUACCAAGUUCCAGACUCUAGGCUGGCCCUUGCAUGGACUGUACAUCAUCAACUGAAUCUAAGAAAACUUAAGAAAGCUCUCUUUCAGAGUUUGCCAAAGUCUGAAAAAAAGAGGGGAAACAGAAAGAAGAGUAGAUUAGUGUGAUGCUUAGUUUUAUGGGUCAAUAGGCUCAGAGGUGGUGCCCAGUGGUUUGGUCAAACUGUAGUUUAGAUGUUGCUAUGAAGGUCUUUUGUAGAUAUGAUAAACAUUUAUAAUCAGUUGACUUAAAUAAAGCACAUCAUCCUCUUUCGUGUAAGGGGCCUCAUCCAAUCAGCCAAGAGCCUGAGGUGCAAAAAUCAAGGUUUCCCAGAGAAACAGGAAUUCUGCCUCAAGACUAUAACAUGGAAACUCUGCCUGAAUUUCCAGUCGGCUGACCUUCCCUGAGGCUUUGAGACUCAAGACUGCUACAGCAACAUUUACGUGAAUGUCCAGCCUGCCAGCCCCAAUAAUCACUUACUUAAAAUUAAUCUCUAGAUAAAUUGACAGUAGAUAGAUAUAAGGAAAUGUAUACACACACACACAGUUGGUUCCAUAUCUGUAUCAUCAGAUCUCUGACUUCUAUAACCAGGAGUCUGAAAACCCACUCCAAUCUCCCCUCUCUAUCAUCUGACUUCUCUGAGCCCAUUGUCUCAUCAGCAUAAUAGAGACUAAUCACCCUCCUUUAGCACCAUGGCUGGCACAUAGUAGGUGCUUCAAAUCAUUUCUUUUCCCCUUUCCUUGAUUGAUUGAUAGGAUAGCUACAUAUCCAAUGAAGGGGCAUUUUUCUGCUGACACAGGCUGCACUUGAUGAAAUCUGAUCUAGAAUGGGAAAUACUAAACAAAAUAAAAAAGAAUUUACUCUCCGAGUAUUAUUGCCACUGUGAUGGAUGGCUGCUCCAAAGGCUAUUUCUCAAGAGUUCACAGUAGAGAAAAAUGUUCAGGCUUGAUUUUGUAUGCGUGUAGAAAAUAAAUUGUAUGACAAGGGUGGCGACAUUUGGACGGGGGAGAGGGCUUAGCCAAGGAAUUAAACAUGUCAGGAGCCUCCAAAGAAAAAGAAUGUUGAAAUGGAAGGUGAAAGGGGCAUAUUUGGAAAACUUGACAAGUGGCACAGUGGGAGGAAAGGUGGCAUUCUGGAAUGGGGUGUCAGCCACUCUCUGCCACUAAAGCCACGAUUUGCCCUUAAUAAUUCAGCGAGGUAGAAAGGAAAAAAUAUGAGCCCAACUUCUAAAGCUCUAUUAUCACAACUGGCUUAAAUUAUUUUCCCUUGCUUAAUUGACCACACAGCAAACAGAGAGAGAAUAAAAUCAGCCAGGGCUUUUUUUUUUUUUUUUUUUUUCUUUUAAAUGGAAUCUUUGCCUAGGUAAUCUCUCAAGUUCCUGUCAACAAAACUCCCAACAUUAGAAAUAAACGAGACCCUGGGAGACAAAAUAACUGGAAUAAUGUCACACAGAACAUAAGUAGAAAACCCAAGUAGAAAACCCAGGCCUGGGAGCUCCCAACCUCAGGGCUUUGCAAGGAAUGAAGAGUAUUAUCCUGGCAAGGAUGGCACACAGGUUGCAGUCAGCACACCAACUUUAAUUGAUUAAUUGUGCUGGGUUGAGGUGUGUGAGAGCAAAUGCAGGUUCACCAUGAAAGCAGGGCUUAAUUGAUUAGUGAUAUCUGUCAUGGGAGCCAGAGGUUCUCCAGGCAGGCCAAAUAUUUGUCAUUCCUUAUCUGGUCUAACUUUUUCUUUUUUCCCCUGUAUUACAGGUCUGCAAAAUAUAGCUGGUGGGCCAAAUUGGGCCUACUGCCUGUUUUUAUAAAUAAAAUUUUACUA
rnacentral:lncRNA from 1 species